GUGGGGGAUAUUGCACAAUGGGGGAAACCCUGAUGCAGCGACGCCGCGUGAGUGAAGAAGUAUUUCGGUAUGUAAAGCUCUAUCAGCAGGGAAGAAAAGCUGACCGAAAGGUCAGCGGACAGUACCUGAAUAAGAAGCCCCGGCUAACUACGUGCCAGCAGCCGCGGUAAUACGUAGGGGGCAAGCGUUAUCCGGAUUUACUGGGUGUAAAGGGAGCGUAGACGGUUAUGUAAGUCUGAAGUGAAAGCCCGGGGCCCAACCCCGGGACUGCUUUGGAAACUGUGUAACUAGAGUACAGGAGGGGCAGGCGGAAUUCCUGGUGUAGCGGUGAAAUGCGUAGAUAUCAGGAGGAACACCGGCGGCGAAGGCGGCCUGCUGGACUGAAACUGACGUUGAGGCUCGAAAGCGUGGGGAGCAAACAGG
rnacentral:rRNA from 1 species